rnacentral:rRNA from 1 species
UGGGGAAUCUUGGACAAUGGGGGCAACCCUGAUCCAGCCAUGCCGCGUGAGUGAUGAAGGCCUUAGGGUUGUAAAGCUCUUUCGCCUGUGAAGAUAAUGACGGUAGCAGGUAAAGAAACCCCGGCUAACUCCGUGCCAGCAGCCGCGGUAAUACGGAGGGGGUUAGCGUUGUUCGGAAUUACUGGGCGUAAAGCGCACGUAGGCGGACCAGAAAGUUGGGGGUGAAAUCCCGGGGGCUCAACCCCGGAACUGCCUCCAAAACUAUUGGUCUAGAGUUCGAGAGAGGUGAGUGGAAUUCCAAGUGUAGAGGUGAAAUUCGUAGAUAUUUGGAGGAACACCAGUGGCGAAGGCGGCUCACUGGCUCGAUACUGACGCUGAGGUGCGAAAGUGUGGGGAGCAAACAGGAUUAGAUACCCUGGUAGUCCACACCGUAAAACGAUGAAUGCCAGUCGUCGGGUAGCAUGCUAUUCGGUGACACACCUAACGGAUUAAGCAUUCCGCCUGGGGAGUA